rnacentral:rRNA from 1 species
CUUGGGUACUCGAGUGGCGAACGGGUGAGUAACACGUGGGUGAUCUGCCCUGCACUUUGGGAUAAGCCUGGGAAACUGGGUCUAAUACCGGAUAGGACCACAUUUUGGAUGGUGUGGUGGAAAGUUUUUCGGUGUGGGAUGAGCUCGCGGCCUAUCAGCUUGUUGGUGGGGUAAUGGCCUACCAAGGCGUCGACGGGUAGCCGGCCUUAGAGGGUGUACGGCCACAUUGGGACUGAGAUACGGCCCAG